rnacentral:lncRNA from 1 species
GAGCAUCAUUAGCUUGAAGAUUGGUAUUUUUCUGACAUCAAAACAAGCAUCAUUAGUGAUUGCAUUCACAGACAUCUGAAAAUGCUGGAUGUGACUAACUGAUUGCAAUACCAUAGGGAAAUAUGGUGCAGUUAACUGUAAAAAAUGAAGUCUGUCUUGGUUUAUAUUAUAUUGUAAAUUCGUGUGGAUAAGAGAUGAUCAGUUUCAGAGUAG